GACGAACGCUGGCGGCGUGCCUAAUACAUGCAAGUCGAACGAGAGCGCCCGGUGCUUGCACUGGUCAAUCUAGCGGCGAACGGGUGAGUAACACGUGGGUAACCUGCCCAUCAGAGGGGGAUAACAUCCGGAAACGGAUGCUAAAACCGCAUAGGUCUUCGAACCGCAUGGUUCGAAGAGGAAAAGAGGCGCAAGCUUCUGCUGAUGGCUGGACCCGCGGUGCAUUAGCUAGUUGGUGAGGUAACGGCUCACCAAGGCCGUGAUGCAUAGCCGACCUGAGAGGGUGAUCGGCCACAUUGGGACUGAGACACGGCCCAGACUCCUACGGGAGGCAGCAGUAGGGAAUCUUCCGCAAUGGGCGCAAGUCUGACGGAGCAACGCCGCGUGAGUGAAGAAGGUUUUCGGAUCGUAAAACUCUGUUGUUAGGGAAGAAUAAGUGCUAGAGUAACUGUUAGCGUCUUGACGGUAUCUAACCAGAAAGCCACGGCUAACUACGUG
rnacentral:rRNA from 1 species